rnacentral:rRNA from 1 species
UACGUAGGGUGCGAGCGUUAAUCGGAAUUACUGGGCGUAAAGCGUGCGCAGGCGGCGCGUUAAGACAGGUGUGAAAGCCCCGAGCUUAACUUGGGAAUUGCGCUUGUGACUGGCGUGCUAGAGUGUGGCAGAGGGAGGUGGAAUUCCACGUGUAGCAGUGAAAUGCGUAGAGAUGUGGAGGAACACCGAUGGCGAAGGCGCUCUGCUGGACCAUAACUGACACUCAGGGACGAAAGCUAGGGGAGCGAAUGGG